GGAGACCCCGUCGGAUCUAGCCGCCGCCAGAUGACUCGAGAAGACCCCGCCAGAUCUCGCCCUCGUCAUCAGUUCUGUAUCGCCGUCAUCGUGGCCACGGUAAAGCCGCCGCCCUUGCCGCGGACCCCCUCCGGAAUACCCCGCCAAUGGACGCCGUAGGACGCAGGCCGGUUUCAACCCCAGGUUUUGGAUCGCCGUCGCAGGCCGGUUUCAACCCCGGGUAAUCCUACCAACUCAAUACCCCGUCGGAUCUAGCCGCCGCUGCAGGCCGCCCCUCCGCCGCACCUCCCACCGCUGGCGUGCAACCUGUACCAGGGGUUGUGGACGUACGAUGCGGAGGCGUCCCAGGUGCGACUGUACAGGGAGCCGGAGUGCGAGUUCCUGACGGAGCAGGUGACCUGCAUGCGCAACGGCCGGCGCGAUGACUCGUACCAGCGGUGGCGCUGGCAGCCUUCCUCCUGCGACCACCCCAGGUUCGAUGCGCGGUUGCUGCUGGAGCGGCUGUGGAAGAAGAGGCUGAUGUUCGUGGGGGACUCCCUGAAGUCGAUGGUGUGCCUGGUGUCGUCGGCGAUCCCGUCGCGCGACCAAAAGUCCCUGGCCAAGUUCGUGGGGCCCAACGGCUCUCUCAACGUGUUCAUGGCGGCGGAUUACAACGCGACGGUGGAGUUCUACUGGGAGCUCCAAGCCUCCAACUCGGAUGACCCGCAGGCGCACGGCGUGCUGGACCCCGUCAUCGCCUGGCGGUCCAUUCCCAAGCACGCCCGGCACUAGCGAGCCGCCCACUUCCUCGUCUUCAACAUCUACAUCAGGUGGCUCAACAACUUCGAGAUGAAAGUGUUGAAGAAUCCUCGGGCGUUGCCGGACAAGUACACGAGUGCAAGCACAACGUAACAUAUUGGGCAAACCGGCCAUUCUACGUGUUUGGUCUUGGAUCGGCAAGCUACAUCACAGGUGUCAGGUUCUCUAGCUAGGUCCAGAAGAAUGGAGUACAUGCCAUAGAUCGAGUUCGUGGUGGAUACAGGAGGUGUGAUCCACUUCACCAUGCUGGACCCGAAGGGCGCAAAGUCUAUCUCAUGAACUAGCCGUGCAUCUUGCUCAACACCUUUCCAUAUAUGUACAAUUAGGCAGGUAUUUCCUCGCGUACGCGGUUGCUGGCUGCUAGAUUAAACUUCUGUUUCAGAGCGUUCCAGGUUGUGUGAGUGCAUGUUUGACCAAUUGCAGUUUAUCCCGGCUAAGGUUCUACAUUGCAUGCCUCAAAUACCUGAUCAUGUGGCUUCCUUUCGUUAGCUUUGAGUACUCAAUGUAGAGGUUUCCCUUCUUGAGUCAUACAUACCUCAAAUCGAUAGUUCUCUGUAACUUCACAAAUAUUUGGUGCGUGUAUAUAUCACUUUAUUUAGGAAAUACUCAAAUUGCAGAGUUUGUUUCAUUGUUAAUCACCUGAAUAACUUGGAUUACUCUGAAAUCAGACUCCCUUUUCGAAGCACAAUAGGACUUCUUUUUAUAGACACAUUUCAACUAUGGUGCUAAUAUCUUUUUUUCUGGGAAGUGCUAUAUACGUUAAGAUUCCUCCAGCAUGUCUACCACACCUCUCAUCCUUUUCUAUCUCAUACACUAAAUCUGUCAUCGAACCCAUCAUAGGUGCAUUGCAAGGGUUGAUAAUUGUUGUCAAUUCAGAAGGGGGAUUUGCCUCAUUGAAGAUACAGAUAAAAGAUUUUCUGACCUCAUAUCGAUUCUUACUUCCAUUCCUCAUGUGUCCUAUGUCUCACGUCUCUUACACGGGCAGAACGACCUGGGCCGUAGAUUAUACGGUGAACGAGGGCGGUGGCAGCACUAGAGUGAGGCAUGGCUGGUUGAGGAAUAAUUUAUUUAAAUCAUUUACUUACAGACUAAUGUUCGCUAUGCUUCUUUUAGUGAACGCUUGUAAUUUUGUUUGAGAGCAUAUCAUGGGUGCACUACUAAUUUAUUAAUCUUAGCAAUGUAAUGUUAAUCCACCUAAUAUGAUAUAAUAGCUAAAACUAGCAGACAUGCUUCCGUCUUCAUGGUGCUAUGGUAUUAAUCAUUUGGGAGUAAAUUUGCUAACCCAGAUCCUCAAAUCUACUUUUUUUCUAGAACUCUACAUCUCGAAGUCUGAGGCACUGGCAUACUUAGCCAUGCCAUUAAGAAGCCAAAUCCAUAGGUUGCCAGCGAGAUGUUUGUCAGCACUGUUGCUUGCCUGCCUGCCUGUGAAGCCACCAUGGGAAACCAUUUCAAGCCGCUCGAUGUACUCUUCUUUCUUCUGAUUGCAUGUUUUGUAUAUGUGGGUGCUCGUAGUAUGUAUUAGGGUUAAUUGAUCAUUUGAUUCAGCCAUAGUAUUGAUGCCGCAUGUACAACAUGUUCCAGAUAUAUUUCUAGAAUAACCCGUGUCUAUAUAGGUUCAAGACUAUUACAGUCCAUGUCGUUUUGGUACUUGUAUGUUCAUACGGCCAACCAUUGGCCAGUAGUUGGUUGUGCAACAGGAGAUGAUAUGACUUCAGUUCUUCUUCACAUAAACAUCUCGAUCCUUAUUUUUUCUUCAUACGGCCAACCAUUGGCCAGGUACUACUAUUCUAAAGUAACUGAAUUUAUCUUAUUUCAUUUGAUUAGUACUGUUGGGCUGCUGGUAGUUAUUGUUCAGAAGCCUGAUUGUAUAUUGAUGGUGAACUCUGUCUGUCUUUAUCCCAAUUUAAGAUGUUAUGGUGCUACACAACUGUAUAUAGCGUGAUAUGGAGGAACCAAAAGUGCCAGAAGCAUCACUUCAUUAAACAUUUAGGGAUGAAUCUUUUUUGGCAUAUGACGAAAUUUUGUUAAAGGUAGUUGUGUUAUUGAUCAGAACUACGUACAUAACAAUGCGACACAAUAUAAUUUGGCAUUUUCAAUGCUAGCACAUGGAGCGGCAAGAGGGAGGAGAGGAGCUACGGUGGCCAGGUAACUCGAGGAUGGAGGGGAAUUGGUGUAGAAUAAGCCUGCACUCUUCAAGAAAAUACAUAGGAUAAUUAUGAAACAAGGUAGUGAAAAAAAACAAGAAAAUAUAGGUGACCAAAUACUUGAGGGGCUGUAACUGCAAGACUAAAAUUAACGGAAAGGUAACCCUUUUUCUUUUUUAGAUGAACAAACAGCUAAGCCAGCUGAGGAGCGAUCUCUAGCAGCUCCCCGGUUGCCAGUGGUCAAGGAUUGUCUGCUGAAAGACAAACAAGUGAUCAUGUUCUAGCA